rnacentral:misc_RNA from 1 species
AACAAGGCGUACCUGCGGACCUGCGGAGGGAUCAUUACAGAGUUGCAAAACUCCCACAAACCAUUGCGAAUCCUACCCCGUACUGUUGCUUCGGCGCGGCGGUCCACGCAGGCUCUGCCUGCGGGGGCCCUCGGCCCUCCCCCGCUUCUGGCUGGGGGAAGGCGCCCGCCGGAGGGACGGCAAACCCACCAACUCUUAUCUUUACAACGAAUCUCUGAGUCUUAUUAUAAAUAGGUUAAA